rnacentral:tRNA from 1 species
UCGGGAAAUAGCUCAGCUUGGCAGAGCAUCACGUUCGGGACGUGGGGGUCGCAAGUUCGAAUCUUGUUUUCCCGAU